GUUUACAACUCCCAAACCCCUGUGAACAUACCAAUUGUUGCCUCGGCGGAUCAGCCCGCUCCCGGUAAAACGGGACGGCCCGCCAGAGGACCCCUAAACUCUGUUUCUAUAUGUAACUUCUGAGUAAAACCAUAAAUAAAUCAAAACUUUCAACAACGGAUCUCUUGGUUCUGGCAUCGAUGAAGAACGCAGCAAAAUGCGAUAAGUAAUGUGAAUUGCAGAAUUCAGUGAAUCAUCGAAUCUUUGAACGCACAUUGCGCCCGCCAGUAUUCUGGCGGGCAUGCCUGUUCGAGCGUCAUUUCAACCCUCAAGCCCCCGGGUUUGGUGUUGGGGAUCGGCGAGCCCUUGCGGCAAGCCGGCCCCGAAAUCUAGUGGCGGUCUCGCUGCAGCUUCCAUUGCGUAGUAGUAAAACCCUCGCAACUGGUACGCGGCGCGGCCAAGCCGUUAAACCCCCAACUUCUGAAUGUGACCUCGA
rnacentral:sRNA from 1 species